UACGUAGGGGGCAAGCGUUGUCCGGAAUCAUUGGGCGUAAAGAGCGUGUAGGCGGCCAGAUAAGUCAGCUGUGAAAUCUCGAGGCUCAACUUCGAGCUGUCGGUGGAAACUGUCUGGCUAGAGCCCGGAAGAGGAGAAUGGAAUUCCUGGUGUAGCGGUGAAAUGCGCAGAUAUCAGGAAGAACACCCGUGGCGAAAGCGCUCGGCUAGGCCGCAACUGACACUGAGGGACGAAAGCUAGGGGAGCGAAUGGG
rnacentral:rRNA from 1 species